AACGCUAGCUACAGGCUUAACACAUGCAAGUCGAGGGGAAACGACAUCGAAAGCUUGCUUUUGAUGGGCGUCGACCGGCGCACGGGUGAGUAACGCGUAUCCAACCUGCCCAUCACUUGGGGAUAACCUUGCGAAAGUAAGACUAAUACCCAAUGAUAUCUCUAGAAGGCAUCUGAAAGAGAUUAAAGAUUUAUCGGUGAUGGAUGGGGAUGCGUCUGAUUAGCUUGUUGGCGGGGUAACGGCCCACCAAGGCAACGAUCAGUAGGGGUUCUGAGAGGAAGGUCCCCCACAUUGGAACUGAGACACGGUCCAAACUCCUACGGGAGGCAGCAGUGAGGAAUAUUGGUCAAUGGACGAGAGUCUGAACCAGCCAAGUAGCGUGCAGGAUGACGGCCCUAUGGGUUGUAAACUGCUUUUAUAAGGGAAUAAAGUGAGUCUCGUGAGACUUUUUGCAUGUACCUUAUGAAUAAGGACCGGCUAAUUCCGUGCCAGCAGCCGCGGUAAUACGGAAGGUCCGGGCGUUAUCCGGAUUUAUUGGGUUUAAAGGGAGCGUAGGCCGGAGAUUAAGCGUGUUGUGAAAUGUAGACGCUCAACGUCUGCACUGCAGCGCGAACUGGUUUCCUUGAGUACGCACAAAGUGGGCGGAAUUCGUGGUGUAGCGGUGAAAUGCUUAGAUAUCACGAAGAACUCCGAUUG
rnacentral:rRNA from 1 species